rnacentral:rRNA from 1 species
AUUGAACGCUGGCGGCAGGCCUAACACAUGCAAGUCGAACGAGUGGCGGACGGGUGAGCAAUGUCUGGGAAACUGCCCGAUGGAGGGGGAUAACAACUGGAAACGGUAGCUAAUACCGCAUACCAGCGGAUGUGCCCAGAGGGGAUUAGCUUGUAGGUGAGGUAACGGCUCACCUAGGCGACGAUCCCUCGCUGGUCUGAGAGGAUGACCAGCCACAUGGGAACUAGGACAUGGUCCAGACUCCGACGGGAGGCAGCAGUGGGGAAUAUUGCGCAAGGGGCGCAAGCCUGAUGCAGCAAUGCCGCGUGUAUGAAGAAGGCCUUCGGGUUGUAAAGUACUUUCAGCGGGGAGGCGUUACCCGCAGAAGAAGCACCGGCUAACUCCGUGCCAGCAGCCGCGGUAAUUC